rnacentral:rRNA from 1 species
GGAAUUUUGCGCAAUGGUCGAAAGCCUGACGCAGCAACGCCGCGUGAUCGUAGAAGCCCUUCGGGGUGUAAAGAUCUGUCAGCAGUGACGAACAAUGACUGUACCUGCAGAGGAAGCACCGGCUAACUCCGUGCCAGCAGCCGCGGUAAUACGGGGGGUGCGAGCGUUGUCCGGAAUCAUUGGGCGUAAAGAGUUCGUAGGUGGUUUGUUAAGUUUGGUGUUAAAGGCGCAGGCUUAACCUGUGUAUGGCAUCGGAUACUGGCAGACUGGAAUGCGGUAGAGGUAAAGGGAAUUUCUGGUGUAGCGGUGAAAUGCUUAGAUAUCAGGAAGAACAUCGGUGGCGUAAGCGCUUUACUGGGCCGUAAUUGACACUGAGGAACGAAAGCCGGGGUAGCAAAUG